CCCCCACCUCAUGGCUCGCUCUGGCCUUCCUGCUGUGCCUGCAUGAGAAAACCCUGCAUGGGAAGCUCUUCUGGGUUGCACAGCUGGUUCCUUCCUGUAACUCAGGGCCCUGUUCAAACGCCAUCUCCUCUGAGAGGCCUUCUCUGGACACCUAGUUGAAAGUGGCCCCAUGGGGGCUGGCCCCGUGGCCCAGUGGUUUUCACGUGCUCCACUUCAGCGGCCCAGGGUUUCGCCAGUUUGGAUCCUCGAUGAGGACAUGGCACCGCUUGUCAAGCCAUGCUGAGGCAGCACCCCACAUGCCACAACUAGAAGGACCCACAACUAAAAUAUACAACUAUGUACUGGGGGGCUUUGGAAGAAAAAGGAAAAAUAAAAUCUAAAACAAACAAAAAAAGAAAGCCGCCCCUCUCCGCCUUCACUCCCCAUCACCCACUCUUUUCCUUUUCUUCAUGGCACUUACCAUUGUCUGAAAUUAUCCUUUAAUUCAUUGUUUGAACCUGGUUUGUUGGCAGUGUGUCCCCACUAGAAUGUAAGUUCCACGAGAGCAGAGAAGCUGACUGUCCGGCAGUUCUCUAACGUGCACCCAGCUUCUGGAACAGUGGCGAGCUCAGAGCAGGCCCUCAAUCAAGCAUCUGUUGAAUGAGCGCUUUGCGGGAGCCCAGAGCAGCGACCACGGGAAAGACGAAGGUGCGGGGAGAAUGUCCAGCUGUCAUUGAGAGACCCCACCAAAACCAGCUUCAUGAAUCCCGUUUAUGCAUUUGCUACAACAAAGACACUAAGGUCACUGGCCACACGGACCCUAAGGGUCUACCACCAGAAAACCCUCCUGAGGACUUGCUCUGAGAGCUCAGGGUCAGAGGUGCCUCAAGCCCUUUACGGAAAUGAGGAGGGGAAAAAGAAAAAACAAGGAGGAGGGAAGGGAAAGUAAAUAUGAGCUAGCAAAAAAAAGCGACCUACUUUGCCACUUUGAUAUAUUGGUGUGUUUCUUCCUCUCUGAAAUAAUCAUUUAAGUGUGCAACAAAAAUUUAUUGAGUGUCUACUAUAUACCAGGCACUGUCUGUGACACUUGGGAUAUGUCAGCGAUCCAAAGAGACCACGAUGCCUGCCCGUGGGGACUUCAUGUUCCA
rnacentral:lncRNA from 1 species